CCUACGGGAGGCAGCAGUGAGGAAUAUUGGUCAAUGGACGAGAGUCUGAACCAGCAAAGUAGCGUGAAGGAUGACUGCCCUAUGGGUUGUAAACUUCUUUUAUAUGGGAAUAAAAUGUUCCACGUGUGGGGUUUUGUAUGUACCAUAUGCAUAAGGAUCGGCUAACUCCGUUCCAGCAGCCGCGGUAAUACGGAGGAUCCGAGCGUUAUCCGGAUUUAUUGGGUUUAAAGGGAGCGUAGGUGGAUUGUUAAGUCAGUUGUGAAAGUGUGCGGACCAACCGGAAAAUUGCAGUUGACACUGGCAGUCUUGAGUACAGGAGAGGUGGGCGGAAUUCGUGGUGUAGCGGUGAAAUGCUUAGAUAUCUCGAAGAACUCCGAUUGCGAAGGCAGCUCACUGGACUGCAACUGACACUGAGGCUCGAAAGUGUGGGUAUCAAACAGGAUUAGAUACCCUUGUAGUC
rnacentral:rRNA from 1 species